rnacentral:lncRNA from 1 species
GAGAGAGGAACAGCGGACAUUGAGGAUUGCGGUGGCUGAUUUUUUAAUUUGUGUUUGCCUCAAUGAUUCUCAUUUAUCUUAACUUCCAUUUACUCAAGACAAUUACAACAUUGGUAGAGAAACUUCUAUUUUGUUCUGUUCUUUGCUAUAUGAUACAUCCCAACAGAACUGAAGCAACUAAUUUAUUCAUGAAAAUGGUUGGUUUAAAGCUCGAAAGCUCAUACCGAGAUGGCUUUUUUCACAGCUUCAUGACGAAGUAAAAUAAAAGCUUAUGACCGAAGAAACAUGCUUGGAUAGGCGUCCUUGUCGACCUCGCAGUCUCCAACCCAUCCUUAGGUAUUGCAGCUCCUUCCAAUCCAGUUUACUCCCUUUUGACAAUUUCCUUACUUGAGCCUUGGAGAUAUGCACUGAAUCGGCUAAUGUUUGCUCUAGGAAUUUCCUUUUGUAGAGAGGAUGUCUUGCCGAAUGUAGUUUUUAGUUCUUGAUCUUUUUUAUACAAGAUAUCUAAAUACUGUAAUGACUCUUGCUGGGAAGCAGGUUGUCAUAUAAGGGGAAAACUUUAGAAGUUACGCGACGUAAUUUAAAUCAUGUGCAACUUGUUUGCUUCCUUGUUGUUUUAUUGCAUUCGAGAUCUUUACCAUUUUCACUGUCGGAAAUGCAGAGCAGAUCUUUAGUAUCUUGAAUUAUCAGUUAAAUUUGUUAGUUGUGAGAUGCAUAUGAUUCUGGCUUCAUUCACAACCAUUCAUGUGGUUUAUUCGGUUUGGUUGGUCGUUGUUAGUACUUUCAUGCCAUCUGAUUAUGUGGUAGAGUGCUUCCGAACUGUGUGUGGGGCCGGGUGUUGUCGGUCAGACCUGAGCACCCUCGCCGGCGACUUGCUAUCUAACCCAUCCACAGGUUUUCCUCUCUUUGAUUUUCCUGUCCAAGUCCAUGAUUUGGUUUAUCUUGGUUGACGUGCUUUUUUAUGUUACAUUGGUGGUCGAUGCAAUGAGAGGUGCAAAUGCAAGGCAAGACGACAUUAUAUAAUUUGUCCUGUGAGUUAGAAUAUCCAUGUGCUAUUUAUUGUGGUGCGGCAUCAAGCAUGUUGAUUGAAUCUGAAGCAUGAGUAAACUGUAGUAAGCUGUGUGUACAGAUUCCUGAUUAUUCUGUAUGAUCCUCUAUUUUUUCCUUUAUGAUCCUCUUUAUUGUGGUGCGACACCAAGCUUGGAUUAUUUACUUGCUUCCACUGUGAUUUCUGGGGAGGGCACUUUAUUGAUUUCUCAAACCUUGGAUCUAGACAUGUAAAUAGUUAAAUGAUAUAUUUUGCUUUUCGAUUAAAUAUGAUACUAACUAAACCUGUCUAUCUUAUACAAGCUGCAAUCUAUUCUGAAAAUUCUGUUUAUAAGGUACCAUCAGCUAUGACCCUAAUGGACCCCGAAUAAAAAGGAGAAAACAUUUGACACUUAUCGUGGCCAACCAUGAAACCGUGUUUCAGAAACUGCAUCAUAGCACAUAUUUCAACCACCGUUUCCUGGUUUGUAAUAUGUACUAGCCUUCUGAAAAAGACUGAGGCUGCACUUGUUCCUGUUAGGUACUUGUAGCAAAUAUUUACUAACUUUUGUUCUUUCGAUCAGAUAAUAAAAGUUUCAUGUCUCUUAAUAAAUUUUAGGUUGUCAUGUUACAAAAAGGCCUAUCUACAAAUAGGUGGACAAGAUAAAACAUUAAAAAUAGACUAGAGCAUUUUCCAUCUCCAUUGAUAAGAAAUAGGUGAAAAGAAAUUAAACUUACUCUUUUCCUUCCUUGCGUAAACGUCUUGUGCUGCUAUGUAGAAGAGGUAUAAUCUUUUUAUAUGGUGAAUCAUGAAGAAACUUAUAGCACAGUGCUAUCAUCUAUGGUAUUGGUGAAUAGUAGCCAUAGUGGUUUAGGAUCUUUUUCAUGUGUUGGCUAAUUGGUUAUUGAUUGUAAUUGCCAGUUUCUCUUCACAUAUGAACCAUGCAUACUUGAUGGUGGGUGAUCCAAAAAUGAUCUCAACCAAUAAAACUUUUAGCGAGUAUGUAAGAACUGGAGUUCUGGAUAUGGAUAGCAGACUACUUUUGAUGGUACUCAGUUUCUUGAAUCCUGUACAUUUCACAAAAACAAUAUGUUGCUUUCAAUGUUUUGGAUUUUACCAUGUGAGUGCCUCUGGAGAGAUUUUUUAAUUGCUUUCUUAUGCUUCCACCUAUUUUCUUCCAGAAUGAUGAUGUGCUUUCUGCUAAAAUUGUACACUAUGGUGUUGAUAAGCAUGAAUUAUUUGCUGUCCUCACAUACAGUCGUAAGCCUUAUUAACUUGAUCAUAGUGUUCUCUUUUUAUUUGUUAGCGGCAUGAUUGAAGGGCGAGACUACCAGCUGGUGAAGGAGAGGAUAUGUAUUCGGCGUGUCCUGAAGAGGUAGUCCACGAACCGGCAAUGGAGGAAAUAAGGUAGAGACGGCAAUAGCAGCAAGUACGUCAAGCGCCAGGGAUGUGGAUAUGGUGUGGCAUAAAAAGGUAGUCCACAAACCUCUGCUAGGUGCUCCUCUCUCACCUCUUGCGUCCUUUGGGGAUAUUCCUUCAUUAUUUGGUUACCUGUCAAUGCUCGGUCUUGUUUCCCACCUUGUGCUUUGACUUCUUGCAUUUUUUUCGUCUAAGUUAUUAGGCUACUGCUGCCUGGUUUGCCCAUGAUGAACCACUAAUUAUGAUGCACUGAUGGCUGGUCUACCUUUUUUAUGCUUUUUUUAGUGACAGCAUUCAGACUUAAUGUUUAUUACUUCAUUUCAGAGUUUUAAAUUAAGACAUCGCGGUCAAUUUAUAUGGUCUUCUGAAGUUUCCCUUCCCUUUGUCAUAUUGGUUUGAUCAAAUUAAUGGGAAGCCGGCAUUACUUUGAUGUACUGGCUUAUAGUCUUAUUAAGUACUCCCUCUUCAAACUAAUACAAGACCUUUUAGAUCACUGCUUACCUUUUAGAUCACUAAAAUAGUGAUCUAAAAGGUCUUACAUCUUAGCGCACAUUUAACUACUGUAUUUGUUGUACUAUUGUGGAUGUACCGCAGAAUAAAGCAGUCCUCCAUUUUUCUUCUAUGCAG